UCAAUAUUUUCAUUGAAACCUUAAUACACAAAGCUGCUAUUAGGAAGAGAAACGUAGAGUGAAAGAAAGGUUACAAUGGCGACAGAGAGAACAGUAACUUCAAACCCUAGCAAUGGAGAACGACCAAAGGUAGUGGUCAUAACGGGCCCCACCGCUUCCGGGAAGUCGAAGCUUGCCGUUGAUUUGGCCUCUCACUUCCCUCUCGAAGUCAUCAACGCCGAUUCCAUGCAGGUCUACCGUGGCCUCGAUGUUCUCACCAACAAACUCCCUCUCUCUCACCAAAACGGAGUGCCGCAUCAUCUCUUGGGCACUGUAAGCCCCAAUGUGGAAUUCACAGCUAAGGCGUUUCGCGAUUCCGCGAUUCCCAUCAUUGAUGAUAUAUUGGCUCGUAACCACUUGCCUGUUAUAGUUGGGGGCACAAAUUACUAUAUCCAGGCUCUUGUGAGUCAGUUUCUUCUAGAUGAUUCUGCAGAAGAUAUGGAUGAAAGCUGUUUGGGUGAUCCACCUAGCGUCACGCAGUCUGAUAACAAUUUCAUUGGUGAAAUUGAUGGUUCAAACAAUAGUUAUGACCUGCUUGAAGAUGAUAACAAUUUCAUUGGUGAAAUUGAUGGUUCAAACAAUAGUUAUGGCCUGCUUAAAGAUAUUGAUCCGGUUGCAGCAAAUAGAAUCCAUCCAAAUAACCACAGAAAGAUAAAUCAAUAUAUUAGUUUGUACACUCGCACUGGUGUUCUUCCUAGCAAAAUUUUUCAAGGAAAGGCAGCAGAGAAGUGGGGUCAAGUUGAUAACUUAAGAUAUGAUUGUUGUUUUAUAUGUGUGGAUGCUUGUCUACCUGUACUGGACAAAUAUGUAGAGCAGAGAGUAGAUUGCAUGAUGGACGAUGGAUUACUCAAUGAGGUCUACGACAUUUAUAAUUUGAAUGCAGAUUAUAGUAGAGGUUUGCGGCAGGCCAUUGGUGUCCGUGAAUUUCAGCUUCUUCUUAGAAUUUGUGCUGUCAAAGACAUCUGUGAAAAAGAGAGGGAAUUGAUUGAAGGAUCAGUCUUAGAAAAGGGUGAGAAAUUGUGUAAUGGUAAUUUGAUGGAGGUGGUGAGAUCUUCCUCUAAUACUGAAUCCACAAUUCUUUUGGAAGAAGCAAUUGAAAAAGUAAAGCUUAAUACCCGGAGACUUGUUCGCCGUCAGGUAAAAAUAAUAAGAGGAUGGUCAGUAGACUGCAAACAUUGUUUGGUUGGAACAUACAUUAUGUUGAUUCCACGGAAUCAAUAUCAAGCAAGUCAGAAGAUGUUUGGACUGGCCAAGUGGUUGAAUCUGCUGUGAAGAUAGUUAAAUCUUUCCUGAGUGACAACGGAAGCUCGCCAUCCACCUUUGGGACAUCAAAUGAUACUGGGAUGAAAAUAACCCAAAGGGACCUCUGGACUCAAUACACAUGCAAGGCAUGCGGAGAUCGGGUGCUUAGAGGAUUACAUGAAUGGGAACAACACAAACGAGGUCGUGGGCACCGAAAACGUAUUUCUAGUCUCAAGAGCAAGGCACGUAAUACUACUGGUUUCGUGAAAGAGAAGAUGGAGUAUUCCGAGUGUGAACACUGAGACUUGUGAAAUGAAAUAUAUGUGUGUGGAAAUUAAAACCAAGAUUUUAAAUUAUUUGCGGAUUUUUGUUGUUGUUGAUAUUAUCAUCUUUUUCCACGGAUUAGAUUAUUACAUCAUUAAACCAGAUUUAGUGCAUUUAAAAUCAAAUUUAUUAGAAGAUAAGGAAAAUGUUUACAAUUUUUUUUACACUACCAUGUAAUUACAAGUUAUUUUUGUUGAUUUUUAUAAUAAUUAGGGAACAUUGUAUUGAUCCCUCCUAAAGUGUGCUUAAAUGACACAAACUACUACUAUAAUUUCUGAAAAAACAAAGGUCUCUCCUAA